rnacentral:rRNA from 1 species
AUGAGUAACCUGCCCUUGACUCUGGGAUAAGCCUGGGAAACUGGGUCUAAUACCGGAUAUGACCUUCCAACGCAUGGUGGUUGGUGGAAAGCUUUUGUGGUUUUGGAUGGACUCGCGGCCUAUCAGCUUGUUGGUGGGGUAAUGGCCUACCAAGGCGACGACGGGUAGCCGGCCUGAGAGGGUGACCGGCCACACUGGGACUGAGACACGGCCCAGACUCCUACGGGAGGCAGCAGUGGGGAAUAUUGCACAAUGGGCGGAAGCCUGAUGCAGCGACGCCGCGUGAGGGAUGACGGCCUUCGGGUUGUAAACCUCUUUCAGUAGGGAAGAAGCGUAAGUGACGGUACCUGCAGAAGAAGCGCCGGCUAACUACGUGCCAGCAGCCGCGGUAAUACGUAGGGCGCAAGCGUUAUCCGGAAUUAUUGGGCGUAAAGAGCUCGUAGGCGGUUUGUCGCGUCUGCCGUGAAAGUCCGGGGCUCAACUCCGGAUCUGCGGUGGGUACGGGCAGACUAGAGUGAUGUAGGGGAGACUGGAAUUCCUGGUGUAGCGGUGAAAUGCGCAGAUAUCAGGAGGAACACCGAUGGCGAAGGCAGGUCUCUGGGCAUUAACUGACGCUGAGGAGCGAAAGCAUGGGGAGCGAACAGGAUUAGAUACCCUGGUAGUCCAUGCCGUAAACGUUGGGCACUAGGUGUGGGGGACAUUCCACGUUUUCCGCGCCGUAGCUAACGCAUUAAGUGCCCCGCCUGGGGAGUACGGCCGCAAGGCUAAAACUCAAAGGAAUUGACGGGGGCCCGCACAAGCGGCGGAGCAUGCGGAUUAAUUCGAUGCAACGCGAAGAACCUUACCAGGGCUUGACAUGAACCGGAAACUCCUGGAAACAGGUGCCCCACUUGUGGUCGGUUUACAGGUGGUGCAUGGUUGUCGUCAGCUCGUGUCGUGAGAUGUUGGGUUAAGUCACGCAACGAGCGCAACCCUCAUUCUAUGUUGCGGGCACGUGAUGGUGGGGACUCAUAUGAGACUGCCCGGGUCAGCUCAGAGGAAGGUGGGGACGACUUCCAAUCAU